UACGUAGGUGGCAAGCGUUGUCCGGAUUUACUGGGCGUAAAGAGCGUGUAGGCGGCCCGGUAAGUCCGCUGUGAAAGUCGGGGGCUCAACCCUCGAAUGCCGGUGGAUACUGUCGGGCUAGAGUGCGGAAGAGGCGAGUGGAAUUCCUGGUGUAGCGGUGAAAUGCGCAGAUAUCAGGAGGAACACCGGUGGCGAAGGCGGGAUCCUGGGCCAGUACUGACGCUGAGGAGCGAAAGCGUGGGGAGCAAACAGG
rnacentral:rRNA from 1 species